rnacentral:rRNA from 1 species
ACGCUCGACACCUACGGAGGCAGCAGUGGGGAAUAUUGCACAAUGGGGGAAACCCUGAUGCAGCGACGCCGCGUGGAGGAAGAAGGUCUUCGGAUUGUAAACUCCUGUUGUUGGGGAAAAAGAGGAUGGUACCCAACAAGGAAGUGACGGCUAACUACGCGCCAGCAGCCGCGGUAAUCUGAGGCGGGCUGGCAAGGC